rnacentral:lncRNA from 1 species
CUCUUGCCUUCCACCUGCUGCUAUAUGAGGACACAGCAGCAAGGUGCCAUCUUGGAAGCAGAGAACAGCCCUCGCCAGACACCAAAAUUGGUGGCUUCAGAACCGUAAGAAGAAUGGUCACACUGUUUUCCAAAGUGACUGCACCAUUUCAUAUUUCUACCAGCAACAUCAUCAUCUUCCUUUUACAGAUGAAGAAACUCAUAUCAUGGAAAAGCAUGGAUGAAAUCCUCUGACCACCCUACAUUUAAAGGACCUUUAAAGAGAAAGAACUGACAGUGUAAGUGGAAAAAGAGCAACUGGAAGUAGCAGGAGAAGGAAAAACCAUUAUCAUACAACUGGUGGGAAGAAGGAAUGUCAAAAACAUCAGUGUGAAAAUAAUUGCAGUAAAACGUAGCUUGCUGCCGGUCCACUGAUGAUGCUCACCUGCAGGACUCAGCCCACCCAAUUUCUACCUGGAUCUUGUACUGGGGUGUGGGUGCCCCCCGCAGGAUUGCUUCCCCCAGGGGUCUGUGCUGAGGUACAAGAUCACCAGACUUACCUAGGGCAAAUGAAAGAAGUACAGCCAGGCAGGAUCUGAACUGUAUUGACCAGGGAAGUGAAAGUCAAAACUGUAGAGGUGGUUCCAAGCAUCAAGUUUGGUGAAGGAUGAGGUGAGAUGUCAACAGCAAGAUGCAUCAGCAGAGCAGAAGGAAGAAGGAAGCAGAACCCAAGGCAGCUUGAGGCAAGUUGACCAGAAGAGAGGAUAUGAAAUGGAUGGACGUGUCAGAGGUCCAUUUCUACUUGACGGAGACAAAUCCUCAAGGAGGUAGGAGGGAGCGGGUGGUUGGUAAACCAAUUCCUUCCAUAAGCAGCUGCAUCAACAGCUUCCAUCUUGCCCCUUGUUGGGUUUGGAGUUGAAUCAGGCUCCCAGUCCCAGAACUCGGGGGCAUGACUGUGGACUGUUUCAGCUCCCAUGAAGACCCUUGGACUCUCCUGGCUGCCAAGUAGAUCCAGGACUUUUCUACUGGAAGCAAGCUCUGAUAUUCAAAUCUUAGCUCUCCCAGUGCCUAAGUGGACCCAGGCCAUACGAUGGUCUUCUGUCUAAACAUCCCCUCUAAUUCUGAGCCUUUGUGCUUAGUGUCCAGCAACUCCAGCCAGCCUCAACAGGGCCCUCCUGUGAUACUCGACUUCCCCAUUCCCUGGGGACUGGAUUCUGCAUUUGAUGACCUGACUUCUGGGACGUGUCUUUCUGUAUAAUUUCAGGUUGAGAGUCUUUGGCUCUAUCUCAAUGACUCCUGAGUAAAUGGCAAGAAUUUCCUGCAACUGUUCCUCACUCUUCUGUUGGGCAGCUUCCAGAAUGGGAUAAAAUCAUUAUAUAGUCAUCUACAAGGCCUGAGUAUCCUCUCUGGCUGGCUUUUAAUUAGUAACCCCACCCAUGCUGGAUUUAUUGAGUAGAUUUUUCCCCAUUCUCCUCCAUCUGCAUGUUGUUGAAAGUUUAGGAUGCCUUGGGCCCAAGCCCAUCCAGGUGAAGUAAUUUAUAGCCUACUUUCAUCUACUUCUUUUUGUAAGCACAGGCUCCAAGCCUCCUGAGAGCUAUAUGUUUUUAAUAUUUCAUGGAUAGUAGAAUGAGUAAAGUUCUAGCUGUCUGGGGUUUCUUCUUUGUGAAAUCCAGCUAUCCCAGUUGUAGACUGUGGAGAGAGUAUCAAGUUAGAUUAAAUUUUAAGCAGUAUCCACAUGCUAGCACCUGGAGAGUUUGCCAGUAACUACAACUGAGAGAGUCAUACAAGGAGAACUUCCCAGCAGCUACUCUCUGCCUUAAAAUGUAGAGCCAUCCUAGAGGAUUCAUUAUUUUACCUCCUUACUCAACGAGUCAUUUCACAGGGCUCAGGAAUCUAUAGGAGGGUUAACAUUCACUCCCUAAAUCCAAAGAGCCCUAUGGGAAUCUCAAAAAGGGAAAAUAGUCCAUGGAAUAAGGCAGGUAUGUAUCUGCUUCUGGCCUGCGUGUGUGGAGGAUGACAGUAGGCCCUGAAUUUACCUUUCUGUGAUGGACACCCCUUAGGUUCUUAUGGUUCAUAAAUCCAUACAAUCUACUGUGGAAGAGUUUGAGGAAUGGGUUGAUGGAAUAACUCCGACUGUAAACUUGCCUCUCUCUCUGCUCACUCAAUUACGUAGAAAUAGGCUAUCAGCCAACCUCAACUGUUCAGAAUAUGACCCCAAACCAGAGACUACCACAAAGAUAGAUGUACAAUCACUUUAUAGGUAGGGAUUCCAAUUCUUCAGUGAGUUUAUUGUUUUUCUUUCCAGAAUAGGUAAGAAUCUUUUUUUUAUUUAUUUCAUCUAGAGACACAUCUACCAUAUUGCCCAAAGCACAACUGGCAGGAAACAGAGAUUUUUCUGGAUGAUACUAGCAGAAUUAAAAUGCUUCUUUUGGUAAUGUCCACCUAUUAAAAAAUGUCAGUAGCCCACUCACUGGAGCCAUCUAGAAAAAGUUGUCCCCUUCCACAGAAUAGCCUUUGCUUUUUAAAAGUAAUGCUUUUUUUUUUUUUUUUUCUGUUUACAGACAUUGUAAUUUCCUUUGAAAUAUUGGAAAGCAGCAAUCAUGUGGACUGUAGAGUAAGACGGGCCAGGAUGGAAUCCCAGUCAGGCUUCUCUGUGACCUAGAGCUCCUGCAGCCCAUUAACCUUCCUUUAAUUUUCUUUAACACUGGGAUAACAACCAGAAAGCCAUAGAGCUAUUGAGAGGAGCUAACACAGGUAAUCUGGCUCUAGGAAGACUCAAGGAUUACUUGUGGAAUUUAAACAAAGUGAACCAGAUCUUAAUCCCAGUGUAUUUUAAUUCCAAGUUUGGUUUGUUUCUCCCUGAUGAGUUACCACCAACCCCAAUGAGAUUGACAGAAAAUGCUCUUUGGUUACUUAUUCUUCCAAAUAUCCUUUCCUUCUCUUUAAAAAAUAUAAUAACACAUCUGGGAUAUAUUAUAUGGUGGUAUAUAUUUCAGUCUAUGUUUCUGCUAAUGCCUUAGUAAAUAGAAAACGCAUGAAUGUUGACUGCUCAAAUACAGUAGCCGCUAGUCAGCCUCAAGUGAGGCUGAAUAUGAAGUUAAACAUUGCAAGAGUAAAAAUAAGUGGGUCUAUCAAAAGUGGAACACUAUCCCCAGUAGUAUCUGAAUCACUUUUUAUAAUUAAGAUAAUGCUCUUAACCUCCUCCUACUGCUUAGAAUAAAGAAAGUUAUAAAAGUCUAUGAUGUUCUUAUUUAUAUCAAAGGAGAGUGUAUCAGUUAGCAACACUUCUGGAUGUUAAUAUCAGUACAUUUAACUGACAGUGGAUUAAACCAACAGAAGAGUAUUUUGUUAUUGUUUUCAUAUUUUCUUAAACAGAAACCUUAGUCGAGGGCCAGCAUCUCUGUGAUUUUCUUGGUUUUCCCUCAUGGUUGUAGAAAGCUGCCCUGGAACCAGACAUC